UUGUCAGGUCAGUUACUAUGUUGCUUAAAAGAACUGUGCACAUUAGACCCAAAGGAAUUGUGUACCUCAUGAACAGCACAACAGCAAAACGAUUCUCUCUUCCUGAUUCUAUGGGUUCUUCAGCAAUACCAAUAUAAACCAGAGAUUGACAUGUGGAACAUUAACUCAGAAAGGAAGACCAGUCUGGAAUGUGGGCAGUACCCUCCAAACUGAGAAGAAAGAAUACUUGGGGAACAAGCUUGAAGAAGACCUACUUCCUGGCUAGAGUUUGACUUUUCAGAACACUUGGGGAACAAGACUGAAGAAAGACCUACUUCUGGCUAGUGUUUCACUUUUCAUCUCACAUAUAUAAAUUUUAUAUACUUAUAGAUAUUAUUUUAUUUUAUAUACAAGAAAAUGAUCAAUUAGCACAUAGCAUUAGGCCGGUAAGUGUUCUGGUUACUAUGGAGACUCAUGUGGAGCCUGGUGAGAACAAGAAUUUUGAUUUUAAAUGUUAACAUUUUGCUCUUGAAUUUUUAUAAAUUUUUUAAAUUACUUUAAUUAGAAGCAUUUAACAUCAACUGUGAAAUGGGUUUGAUUAUGUCUAGACAAGUAUAGAAUUUGUAAUGUGUACCUUUGUUACCCUGCAGAUGUGUCUGAGUUUUUUCACUUCACAAAGAAAGAAGAUAAUCUACCAUAGAGUCUGUUUCCUGAACAUUGAUGAGGCUGUUAUACUCCACUUGAACAUAUUUAUAUUUUUGAAGUUUUAGUAAACAAAUAAGAGGAUUAAGUAAAAACACAGGGAAAGGGGAAAGAGCAAUAAAAUAUUGCCAUGUGUUGAAUUCAUCUAUGUGAGCACUUUUUGUGCAAAUGUGGGUAUUGUGCUCAUUAUUGAAUAGGAAAUCCAAGUGAGCACUUUCCUUUUACACCUUAAAAUUGGGCUAGAAAUUAGUCAUAAUGGCUUGUUUGACUGUAAGAUGACUCAAUAAUUUUAUCCUAAUUGUGUCAAAGCAUUCUUGCCUGGAAUAGUGCUGAACUGAACACUCAGGGUUAGAAGUUACUGAGACAAGAGGAUUUUGAGAACAAGGCAACUUUGAGCUUCAUCAUAGGAUCCUGCUGCAAAAGUGUGAAGGGGUGUGUGUGUGUGUGUGUGUGUGUACUCUUAUAGAAGCUAUUUUUUAAACUUUGAACGUUAAGAUAUUUUCUUUAUGAAGUCAUAUGAAGCAUAUUCCAUGAUAUCUUUCCACAUUUAAUGUCAUUUUCAUGAAAGGAAAUGGUAGUUAUCUAGGAACAUUGAUGUCUCAUCAAACACACAGAAUACUCAGCAAGCCUAUGUUUGUCCAAUGAGUGAAUCCUUCUGCCCUUCAUCCACUCUGAAUAGUUCAAGUCUAUACCACCUUCAAUAAUGUUUUGUUUUUUCUCAUAUGUGUGGUGAUAUAUUGUGUCCCCCAAAAUAUUGUGCACCCUAAUAAACUUAUCUGGGGUCAGAGAACAAAACAGCCUCUAGAUAUAGAUGCCAGAAAAUGGUGGCACACAUGCCUUUAAUCCUAGCAUUCCAGAGGCAGAAAUCUGUCUGGAUCUCUGUGAGUUCAAGGCCACAUUGGAAACAGCCAGGCUGGGUGACACACGCCUUUAAUUCCAGGAAGUGAUGGCAGAAGGCAGAAAGGUAUAUAAGGUGUGAGGACCAGGACCUAGUGCUGUUUAAGCUUUUAGACUUUUAGCAGCAGUUCAGCUGGUUAAGCUUUUAGGCUUUUGAGCAACAGUUCAGCUGAGACCCAUUGAGAUGAGGACACAGAG